AUCUUGUGAUUUAGUAGAUGAAU
rnacentral:snRNA from 1 species